rnacentral:rRNA from 1 species
UACGGAGGAUCCAAGCGUUAUCCGGAUUUAUUGGGUUUAAAGGGUGCGUAGGCGGUUUGAUAAGUCAGUGGUGAAAGUUUGCAGCUUAACUGUAAAAUUGCCAUUGAUACUGUCAGACUUGAGUACAGAUGAGGUAGGCGGAAUGUGUAGUGUAGCGGUGAAAUGCUUAGAUAUUACACAGAACACCGAUUGCGAAGGCAGCUUACUAAACUGAAACUGACGCUGAGGCACGAAAGUGUGGGGAUCAAACAGG